CCACGCCCGCUCAAGAACUACGAAAGGUAUGGACGGGGGCCCGCACAAGCGGUGGAGCAUGUGGUUUAAUUCGAUGAUACGCGAGGAACCUUACCUGGGCUCAAAUGUAUGUUGACGUAUUCUGAAAGGGAUACUUCUUCGGACAAUAUACAAGGUGCUGCAUGGUUGUCGUCAGCUCGUGCCGUGAGGUGUCGGGUUAAGUCCCAUAACGAGCGCAACCCCUAUCAUUAGUUGCCAUCAGGUCAAGCUGGGGACUCUAAUGAAACUGCCUACGCAAGUAGUGAGGAAGGUGGGGAUGACGUCAAAUCAGCACGGCCCUUACGUCCAGGGCUACACACGUGCUACAAUGGCCGGUACAAAGGGCAGCUACCUGGUGACAGGAUGCUAAUCUCAAAAGCCGGUCUCAGUUCGGAUCGGAGUCUGCAACCCGACUCCGUGAAGCUGGAGUCGCUAGUAAUCGCGCAUCAGCCAUGGCGCGGUGAAUACGUUCCCGGGCCUU
rnacentral:rRNA from 1 species